AAUAGAUAUCCGGGUAGUCCACGCCGUAAACGUUGGGCGCUAGAUGUGGGGACCUUUCCACGGUUUCCGUGUCGUAGCUAACGCAUUAAGCGCCCCGCCUGGGGAGUACGGCCGCAAGGCUAAAACUCAAAGGAAUUGACGGGGGCCCGCACAAGCGGCGGAGCAUGCGGAUUAAUUCGAUGCAACGCGAAGAACCUUACCAAGGCUUGACAUACACGAGAACGGGCCAGAAAUGGUCAACUCUUUGGACACUCGUGAACAGGUGGUGCAUGGUUGUCGUCAGCUCGUGUCGUGAGAUGUUGGGUUAAGUCCCGCAACGAGCGCAACCCUCGUCGCAUGUUGCCAGCACGUUAUGGUGGGGACUCAUGUGAGACUGCCGGGGUCAACUCGGAGGAAGGUGGGGAUGACGUCAAAUCAUCAUGCCCCUUAUGUCUUGGGCUUCACGCAUGCUACAAUGGCCGGUACAAAGGGCUGCGAUGUCGUAAGGCGGAGCGAAUCCCAAAAAGCCGGUCUCAGUUCGGAUUGAGGU
rnacentral:rRNA from 1 species